UACGUAGGGUGCGAGCGUUGUCCGGAAUUACUGGGCGUAAAGAGCUCGUAGGUGGUUUGUCGCGUUGUUCGUGAAAACUCACAGCUCAACUGUGGGCGUGCGGGCGAUACGGGCAGACUAGAGUACUGCAGGGGAGACUGGAAUUCCUGGUGUAGCGGUGGAAUGCGCAGAUAUCAGGAGGAACACCGGUGGCGAAGGCGGGUCUCUGGGCAGUAACUGACGCUGAUGCGCGAAAGCUAGGGGAGCAAACGGG
rnacentral:rRNA from 1 species